AUAGGUUGUUAACAUUAUGGGGAAUUUUAUCCUCAGUACUCAUCUCCUCAUAGAAGGAAUGAGAAACCUGAUGAGUUUGAGUUGCCACUGUCUCAGUUUCAAGACCUACAUAUAUUAUUGUUCCUGGAUCUACUCCUGUGCCAUAUAUUUGAAACCCAAACAGACCUCCAAACCUGUCAAUAAAGUACUGCAGAUUGGAAAUGGUCAUG